rnacentral:tRNA from 2 species
GGACCGGUGGCUGAGUGGUCGAAAGCGCUCCCCUGCUAAGGGAGUAUACUCCAAAAGGGUAUCGAGGGUUCGAAUCCCUCCCGGUCCGCCA